AGGCUCGCGGCGCCUUGUGUCCAGGAUCCCCCGGGCCCCGCCGCCCACGUGGGAGCUGAGGCCCUGGGGCUUCUGGCUCACGAUUGUUUCCUUAGAACAACUUUUAUUUUUAAAGUCUGUGGAGCGCUCUUGCCUGUGUGAUCUUCUCUGAGGUUCGGCCCUCGUUAGCCUUCCAACCCACGUAAGCCCUCGGGCCUAGACCGAGGAAAGGUUUGUUAAAUGGGGAACUGAGAUGGGCCGCUGGGUAGUAGGUGCGGUGCCAGCGCGGAAUCUCCAGGGAGACCUGGUGCCCAAAGCUUGUACUUGGCGUGAAAAAUCAGAAGCAGAUGCAAAGCAAUGUGCAGGCACAGAGAAGAGAAAGAAAGCAUAUGUAGGCCCAUUGCUUUCUUUUUUCCAUUGUACUAAUCAUUGCUUGGUAUAUAUUUACUAGCUUGUUUAUUGAUUUCCCUCCCAGACACUCGGCUUUACUCACUGCUGUAUCCUCAGUGCCUAGAACAGUGCUUGGAACGUGGUAGGUGUUCAUAUUCGAACCAAUGAAUUCAAAAGAGUAGGACUCAGUGGAACCGCAGUAGGAUCUGUAGUCUUGGAGCUGCACUGGGUUGGUGGUACCCUAGAGCACACCAGACUUGCAGAAAAAGCAUACUCCGGAGGAAGCUGAGGCAUGCCUGCUCAAGAGCCAGCGGUUCCAUGUGCAAUUUUCCUCUGAUACUUCCUGGGUACUGUUGCCACGGUGAUAAUGACUGUACCAUGUCAUUGUCUAUCCACCAACAGUAAGAGAAGCUUUGCAGUCGAGAUAUUGUUUAGCAGAUGGAGUGGUUUCUGUUGGACACUAAGUACUGCUACAAAUGACUGUUUUUAAAAGCUUGAGUAUUUUUUAAAUUGUGGCUGGAGGUGACCUGUUUAUGCUUUGGGGGUGCUCAAAUUUAAAAUCAGAAAAUCUUUGCAUGUCAGCUAGUGAGUCUUCCAAAUAAUCAUUCAACAUGAAACUUGAGCCUAGUAAACUGUGAAAGUAAACUCAGGACAUUACUUCAGUUUUGUAUUUUCAUCCCCGUCAAUGUUAUUGAUGCUUGCUAAUUUUGUAAUGUGGGACCCAACAUUGAUUAGGUCCUUAAAGAAUCUUUUUGUUUUUCAGAUUCAUUGAUUCCAGGUGAAUCAGAGGAAGAAGCAUCAUGAACAGAAAUAUAAACAAAAUACUAAUAUGCUGAAGCAUAACUGCUGUUUUAAAAGUCCAGCAUCUGGUACCCUUAAACCAUAGAGAAUAUAUUAAAUUCCUUCCAACAUCACAUAAAUUUUACUAAUGCUUACAUUGUAGUAAGUUUUUUGUUUGUUUUUUAAAUAAAUAUUGGAGAGCUGGCCAGUUAGCUUAGUUGGUUAGAGUCUGGUGUUGUAACACCACGGUCAAGGGUUUGGAUCACCGUACCAAAUAAAUAAAUAUUGGUGAUUUGUUCCUGAAAACCUAAUUUGUUUAUUGCCUACUAUAAACUGUCUAAUUCUGCUUUUGUGUUGACUGGGAGAGGGAGAAGAAUUUGCAAACUUAUGUUCUGAGGAUCCGAAACAGAACAGUAAUGGGGAGUAUCAAAUUCCUAACCUAGAGUUUAAUAGUGGCUUUGGAAGCACAUUUAUCUUUUUUAGUUGUCAAAUGUUUUAUUAAGUUGAGAAUACAGCUGUCAUUAAAGAUUAAGAUUAAACCUUGAGCAGAAAGAUUACAAAGCCUAUGUUUUUCAAAAUUGUAGUAGAGUUGCUGUGUUUCGUAGAAUAUGAACACACAUGAAAUGCUAAGGAUUUGGGAAAGAAUGUCGGUGCUCUUUCAAGGAGCUAAGAGGGAUGGCAUUGAAAGCAUGACUAAGGACAGGAAAAUAAGUCAUUUUUCUAAAUCAAAGAAAUUUAAGCAGUAUGUCUAAAUUUGAAUUUUUAAUAAAAUGCAACCAAAAAUACAGUGAAAUGUUGUACGUGUUGCGUAGAUUCCUUUCUGUUUUUGAUUUAAUACUGCUUUCGGGGUAUUAGCAUCAAACAUCAAUGAUCUUAAGAAGCAGAAAACAAUGUUCAAAAUACUUCUGCGAAAGCUCCUAACAUUUAUAUAUGAUUUGGCAUUUUUGUUUGAGGUUUUUCUUUAGAAAUCUUAUAAUGAAAAUGUGGUAAAUUAUACUUCUUAAUCGGUUGUCAAAAAUCUCCACUCUUGCUCAAAUCUUUUUGGCUGUUUUAAACACCUAAGUAAAUAAAUGAUGUGUAUCA